rnacentral:rRNA from 1 species
UGAACGUUGGCGGCGUGGAUUAGGCAUGCGAGUCGAGCGAGAACCGUAGCAAUACGGGGACAGCGGCGAAAGGGACAGUAACGGGUAGAUUAUCUGCCCUCAGGUUUGGGAUAGCUGCGGGAAACUGCAAGUAAUACCAAAUAAUAUCUCCGGAUCAAAGGUGUGAUUCCGCCUGAGGAUGAGACUGCCUCCUAUUAGCUUGUUGGUGGGGUAACGGCCUACCAAGGCAUUGAUGGGUAGCGGGUGUGAGAGCACGACCCGCGUCAUUGGGACUGAGACACUGCCCAGACACCUACGGGUGGCUGCAGUCGAGAAUCUUCGGCAAUGGACGCAAGUCUGACCGAGCGACGCCGCGUGUGGGAUGAAGGCCUUCGGGUUGUAAACCACUGUCAGAGGGGAUGAAAUGCAGGUGGGUACUCCCAUUUGUUUGACAUAGCCUCAGAGGAAGUACGGGCUAAGUUCGUGCCAGCAGCCGCGGUAAGACGAACCGUACGAACGUUAUUCGGAAUUACUGGGCUUAAAGGGUGCGUAGGCGGCGCGGAAAGUAGGGUGUGAAAUCCCUCGGCUCAACCGAGGAACUGCGCUCUAAACUACCGUGCUCGAGGGAGAUAGAGGUGAGCGGAACUGAGGGUGGAGCGGUGAAAUGCGUUGAUAUCCUCAGGAACACCGGUGGCGAAAGCGGCUCACUGGAUCUCUUCUGACGCUGAGGCACGAAAGCUAGGGUAGCG